rnacentral:rRNA from 1 species
GACAGAGGUGCCGAGCGUUAGGCGGAAUCACUGGGCUUAAAGCGUGUGUAGGCGGACUUCUAAGUACCUUGUGAAAUCCCACGGCUCAACCGUGGAACUGCUUGGUAUACUGGUUGUCUUGAGCCACUUAGGGGCAGUCGGAACAGACGGUGGAGCGGUGAAAUGCGUAGAUAUCGUAAGGAAGACCAGUGGCGAAGGCGGGUCUCUGGACAGUUCCUGACGCUGAGGCACGAAGGUCAGGGGAGCAAACGGG